GAUGAACGCUGGCGGCGCGCCUAAUACAUGCAAGUCGAGCGAAUGGAUUAAGAGCUCGCUCUUAUGAAGUUAGCGGCGGACGGGUGAGUAACACGUGGGUAACCUGCACAUAAGACUGGGAUAACUCCGGGAAACCGGGGCUAAUACCGGAUAACAUUUUGAACCGCAUGGUUCGACAGUGAAAGGCGGCUUCGGCUGUCACUUAUGGAUGGACCCGCGUCGCAUUAGCUAGUUGGUGAGGUAACGGCUCACCAAGGCAACGAUGCGUAGCCGACCUGAGAGGGUGAGCGGCCACACUGGGACUGAGACACGGCCCAGACUCCUACGGGAGGCAGCAGUAGGGAAUCUUCCGCAAUGGACGAAAGUCUGACGGAGCAACGCCGCGUGAGUGAUGAAGGCUUUCGGGUCGUAAAACUCUGUUGUUAGGGAAGAACAAGUGCUAGUUGAAUAAGCUGGCACCUUGACGGUACCUAACCAGAAAGCCACGGCUAACUACGUGCCAGCCGCCGCCGUAA
rnacentral:rRNA from 1 species